rnacentral:rRNA from 1 species
AGUGACAAGAAAUAACAAUACAGGGCCUAACGGUCUUGUAAUUGGAAUGAGUGAAGUAUAAACCCCUUUACGAGUAUCAAUUGGAGGGCAAGUCUGGUGCCAGCAGCCGCGGUAAUUCCAGCUCCAAUAGCGUAUAUUAAAGUUGUUGCAGUUAAAAAGCUCGUAGUUGGAUUUCUGUUGUAUUUUUAUAAUGUUACUAAGGUAACAUUAUAAUAACAACAUCCUUCCCAAUAUAUUUUUUAAUAUAUGGGAAAUUUUACUUUGAGAAAAUUAGAGUGCUUAAAGCAGG